AUGGGAGCUUGUACUAUUACAGGGGGGAUGUUCAGUACAGAUUCCUAUAGUACUGUUCGGGGAGUUGAUAAGUUAAUUCCUAUGGAUGUCUACUUGCCGGGCUGCCCACCUAAACCGGAGGCAGUUAUAGAUGCCCUAACAAAACUUCGUAAGAAGAUAUCGCGAGAAAUAGUUGAGGAUCGACCUCUAUCUCAAAAUAAAAGAAGAUGUUUUACUACCAGUCACAAGCUUUAUGUUAGGCGCAGUACUCAUACAAGAACUUAUGAGCAAGAAUUGCUCUAUCAAUCACCAUCUACAUUAGAUAUAUCUUCUGAAACUUUUUUCAAAUCCAAAAGUUCAGUACCUUCCUACAAAUUAGUGAAUUAG
rnacentral:rRNA from 1 species